rnacentral:rRNA from 1 species
GACGAACGCUGGCGGCGUGCCUAAUACAUGCAAGUCGAACGCAGUGGGGGCGGGGGAGUAACACGUGGGUAACCUCCCAUCAGAGGGGAUAACACGUGGAAACAGGUGCUAAACCGAUACGGGUGGAUGGACCAGCGGGGCAUUAGCUAGUUGGGGAGGAAGCGGCUCACCAAGGCCACGAUGCAUAGCCGACAUGAGAGGUGGAUCGGCCACACGGGAACUGAGACAAGGCCCAGACUCAUACGGGAGGCAGCAGUAGGGAAUCUUCGGCAAUGGACGAAAGUCUGACAGAGCCACGCCGCGUGUGUGAAGAAGGGUUUCGGAUCGUAAAUCACUGUUAUUAGAGAAGCGGUACCUAACCAGAAAGCAACGGCUAACUCCGUGCCAGCCGCCGCGGUAAUUC